rnacentral:rRNA from 1 species
AAGUCAUAACAAGGUUUCCGUAGGUGAACCUGCGGAAGGAUCAUUAGUGAUUGGGCGUGAGCCGUUACAGUUCCUCACACCUGUGAACCCGUCGGCGCCGGUCUCUGGCCCGAUACUUUACAAUACAAUGUGUAAUGAACGUGAAUGUAUCAUAACAAACAAAACUUUCAACAACGGAUCUCUUGGCUCUCGCAUCGAUGAAGAACGCAGCGAAAUGCGAUAAGUAAUGUGAAUUGCAGAAUUCAGUGAAUCAUCGAAUCUUUGAACGCACCUUGCGCCCUUGGUAUUCCGAGGGGCAUGCCUGUUUGAGUGUCAUGAGACAUCAAUCCCCACAGGUUUUCCGCCCGUGGUGGACUUGGAAUUGGGCGUCUGCUCCCCAGGCUCGCCUCAAAUGUAUCAGUGGGACACCUCGGACCUACGCCUGACGUGAUAAGUUUCGUCAUCGGCUGGCCCGCGGUGCCCGCUUACAACCCACACACUCUUGACAAUUGACCUCAAAUCAGGUAGGGCUACCCGCUGAACUUAA